rnacentral:rRNA from 1 species
CCUACGGGUGGCAGCAGUGGGGAAUAUUGCACAAUGGGGGAAACCCUGAUGCAGCGACGCCGCGUGAGUGAUGAAGUAUUUCGUUAUGUAAAGCUCUAUCAGCAGGGAAGAAAAUGACGGUACCUGAGUAAGAAGCCCCGGCUAACUACGUGCCAGCAGCCGCGGUAAUACGUAGGGGGCAAGCGUUAUCCGGAAUUACUGGGCGUAAAGGGAUCGUAGGCGGGAUGUCAAGCCAAGGGUGAAAUCCCCGGGCUCAACGUGGGAACGGCUUUUGAAACUGGCUAACUGGAGUGUGUGAGAGGCUAGUGGAAUUCCAGGUGUAGGAGUGAAAUGCGUAGAUAUCAGGAGGAACAUCAGUGGCGAAGGCGACUUGCUGGAACAUGACUGACGUUGAGGAGCGAAAGCGUGGGGAGCAAACAGGAUUAGAUACCCGUGUAGUC